rnacentral:tRNA from 2 species
AGAGGCUUAGGAUAAAUUAGACCAAAGACCUUCAAAGCCUUAAGCAGGAGUGAAAAUCUCCUAGCCUCUG